GGAAUAUUGGGCAAUGGAGGCAACUCUGACCCAGCCAUGCCGCGUGCAGGAAGAAGGCCUUCUGGGUUGUAAACUGCUUUUGACAGGGAAGAAAAGGCUCUACGUGUAGGGCAACCGACGGUACCCGUAGAAUAAGCACCGGCUAACUCCGUGCCAGCAGCCGCGGUAAUACGGCGGGUGCAAGCGUUGUCCGGAUUUAUUGGGUUUAAAGGGGGCGUAGGCGGCCUUGUAAGUCAGUAUUAAAAGACGGCAGCUCAACUGUCGGGCUGGUACUGAUACUGCGGGGCUUGAGUUGAGGCGAGGCAGGCGGAAUUGAUAAUGUAGCGGUGAAAUGCAUAGAUAUUAUCAGGAACCCCGAUUGCGAAGGCAGCUUGCUAGGCUCAAACUGACGCUGAGGCACGAAAGUGCGGGGAGC
rnacentral:rRNA from 1 species